rnacentral:lncRNA from 1 species
UGUGUAUUGCUUCUUUAUUUUUAUUUUUUUUCCACCAUAACAUUAUCUACUUUCGAUAAGAUAGGCUCCUCUAGCCCCAGUAAGUUUAGAUCUGGUUCACCUUAUAUGGUAGAAUUCUCUGACUCAACUUGAUCUACUUGUCAUUCUGAGGCAGGAAAGAGAGCACAGAGAUACUUGUUUGGAGUUUACAACGUGAAUGUCUAUUUCCUGAUAUUUAACAUCAUUUUAUUGCAUCAACUCUUUAUUUUUAUAUUUGUGUUUUAAUUGGGGUAAAAUAAAUUCUUUUUUUUUUUAAAAGAAAAUAUGGGGUAUGGGCUCAGUUUUAUUUCACAUUUUGCAGGUUUAUUAUGAACUUGAUGAAGAGAGGAGAAAAGUGAAUAGGAAGGAUGUUGCUAUAUGUCGGGUGGAACAACUUUGCCCCUUCCCUUAUGAUCUCAUUCAACGUGAAUUGAAGCGAUAUCCAAGUAUGUGUUUUGAUAUUAACCUAAUUAUGAGAUUCUUUAUUAUCUUCAUAUUUGAUGGAAAUUAUGAGCAUUGGCUAUGAAGAACUCUAUGAAGGUUGGUUAUGGUAUAGGCCAUAAAUAUGCCUUCGUAUGUCUAAGCAUGCAGAACCCUACUUUGUCGCACGGUAGAUUUGCUGUUUUUCUUUCCAAUUAAUCUUUUGCUUCUCCUAAAAGCUUACUUCAGGGGAUACUUUCUGGCCAUUUCAAGAUGGACGUCUUAGUUUGAUUUGGUAUCUGUAGUGAGGAAAAGUGAAAAAAAAAUUAUUUUAAACAAGAGGAAUGAAAAUAAGCAAUGGGAUCACUUUGUUGGUUAAAAUUCAAUAUCACAGUGGGAAUCCUUCAGGACUCUUUUAACUUCUUGUUUGAUAUUUAUAUGCCAAUUUCUUCAAUUGCACUGAAGGAUACUGAGCAUAACAAAGCAUGGCUUGAAGACAAAAAGUAGGAUUUCCAUUUUGGAAUAGGAAGAACAAUUUAGCAUAAGUUUGGACAUCAGUGUUCUUAACGGUAUUGGACUUUCACCUUUUACAUUAGUUAAUUUACACUUAAAGUGAGUGCCUUUUGGUUGAAUUUAAGAAGUUAUUAGAGCUUUACUUUCAGGAAGGUUAAGUACACACCUUUGAUUAAUUGAGUAGAAACUUAAUAAGCUUGCCAAGUCUUUAAUACAUUCUGUGGGUUGUCUGAUCUGAACGUGUGGUGUGGUUUAUAAUAUUGUAGUGGGAACCUCUUCUAGUUGAUUUUGGACUAUUUGUGGUCCAUUAUGUCUCCCAUGCUCAUUAUGCUACCUCUUUUGACAUAUCAUUCUUGUGAUUAUCAGAUGCUGAGAUCGUAUGGUGCCAGGAAGAGCCCAUGAACAUGGGUGCCUACAAUUAUGUUGAACUUCGACUGGCUACUGCCAUGAAAGCAUUGGGAAGAGGUGAUUUAGAUGAUAUCAAGUAUGUUGGACGUGCUCCAUCUGCUGCCACAGCUACUGGUUUCCUGAGCGUGCACCAAAAGGAGCAAAGGGAACUUGUAGAGCAAGCCUUGCAGCCUGAUCCAAUUAGCAUUUCUUGAUGAUGUUUUCUCCAUAAGCAGUUAAAAGUUUAAUUCUGCUUAGAAAGAUACAUAUGUUUUUGUUUGUACCCAGAAGAAAACAAUAAUGUGUUUUGCAAUUCUAACAGUUUCUUGAACAAAACAAGUCCUAUACAUCUUCUUGUCAGUCAAUCUGGUAGUGGAUGCAGCCUUGCUGUUCUCUAGGCGGACCACUGCUUCUACUCAUAUUGUCGUGUAAUAGAAAGCAUUGCUGAGUGAAUAAUAAAAAGACAUCUUCAACAUCCCCUUCUUCGAAUUUUUAGCUGUGAUUGUGCUUUUACUUGGAGCCUGGACCUGGCAAGGCUGGAUGGCAGGUAUCUUGCAUGGCAGCAGAGUCUUUAAUGCCUGCGCGUCGUCUUCACAGCUAAAGACAUUGUCCAAAUGUAGCGCUCAAGGACCAGAUGUGAUCAUGUAAAACGGAAAAUGCUGAUGACACAUCAUGACGACUUGUUUUCCUCCAAGUAACGAAGUUUAAUUACUUAAAAACUCGGCAACUUUUAAGGGUAAGUUAUCACCAAAAGACAACGUGCAGGAGGUAGAAAAUGAAAAUUAAUUUGGACAGUUGACGGAUGGCACCCGACAGAUGACACUUGCAGGACACUGGAAGCUUGUAGUAGUUCAAUUUGGUGAAGGGCAACUGCGAAGUAAAACUUUCUUGUUUAUGCGAUUAAUCUGCCAUUGAUCCCACAGUUGGCCAGGAGCGUCGAGAGCGAAGACCACGCUAAAAGAUCACUAAUAAGCUGAUCCUUUGCAAACUUUCUUGUUUUUGUUGGUUUUGAGCAUCAUGUUGUAAAUUUUUUAAAACUUAAGAUAUAUUGGACAAUUACUAGAUGAUCUUUUGUUUAAGAGUGUAGCUGAAAGUUAUAAUCUUAUGUAGGUCUGGAAACAUUAGAAACGAUUUUCAAGAUUUUUUGUGUAUCAUUAUUAUUAAAUUGGCCUUUGCUAAUGAAUAUGUUGAUUGUUAUCAUAAAAUCCAAAAACAGGGAUAAUCAUGUGAGUUUUUUUUUUUUUUUUCCAAUCAUGUGAGUGUUUUUCCUUUCCUUUUGUUUUACUAAGAGAAAGUAAUGGUCCUAAAAGAAGAAAACCUGAAACUAUCUUGACGUUUCUCUCACAUUAGCAAAUAAACUCAGAACUUCAAGGUUGCCAUUCUUAAUCCCUGUUGUCAUUUGCUUGUUAUGUUUAUUGGUCCACAUUUUAUGUUCACUAAGUACCUAGCAUAUCAUAAAUUAAGUUGAUAGUUGAAAUCCAGAGCAUAUAUCAGACAAAUACUUCUGACUCGAUGGAGAAUUAUAAAGAAAUAUCAACUCUUAAAUUUGAUGGAUAAAUUGAUGAGUUUUUUGUUUUUGGCCGAAAUUGAGGUUGUAUUUCUCACGAUUUCUUACCAAGUCGCUUUAAAUUGGUCAAAUUAUAUUUCUAUGCAACCCAAGAUUUUUCAAUAACUAAUAUGUUAUUAUUUUAAUAUUGGUUAGGUAUGUCUAAUUUUGAGCAUCAGCUUAACAACGGGGAUAACACAAUUUGCAUUGAUAGCGAAGAAGAAAGUGAGUGCCAAUGCAAGAGUAAGUAAGAGGGAUGACGAACAUAAUGUCUCAGAUGAAUUAGUAAAUGAAGAACUGGAGAAAAAAUUGAGAAACCAAGUUGUGCAAUCAGAGAAAGAGGCAUACGAUCUGUAUUGUGCUUAUGCUCAUCAAGUCGGUUUCAGUGUUCGAAGGGGAAAACAAUACUAUUAUACAGGGACAAAAAAAAUCAGAUCAAAAUCAUAUUUUUGUUCUAAGAGAAGUCUUAAGCUUGAUGAAGAAAAUCAAGAAGUCACGACUGAUCCUACUUAUAAUAGAUUAGACACUAGAAUUGAUUGCAAGACGAUGAUCACAUUUGAGGUUGACAAAGAUGAUCACUUUUGAGGUUGACAAAGAUGGUCGGUAGAAAGUUACUAAAUUUGUUAAGGAACAUAAUCAUGGGAUGGCAAAAGAGUAUGAAAAACAUCUACUCAAGUCUUGAAGAGUAGUCACUGAGGAUAAGGCUAAUACAAUGGCUCAUAUAUUUGAUUUUGGAAUACCUAUAACAGAUGCAUAUUCAUGUUUGGCUAAAGAAAGUGGAGGUGUUACUAAUGUUGUAUUCUCGAAAAAGGAAGCUUUUAAUUUCAUAUCCACCAGGCAAAAUUCUAUUAUUGAGAAGAGAGAUGCACAAAGUAUUGUGCAUAAUUUCAAGAGCAGAGUAAAUACAUCAGGGAUGUUUUAUUGGGAUGUAGAGUUGGGUGAUGAUCGACGGAUGCUAAACUUUUUUUGGAGGGAUAGGCGGUCGUGCAUAAACUACGACUUCUUUGGGGAUGUUGUGAUUGUUUAUACUACUUACUGAAAAAAUAUUUUCAAUCUGAUUUGUGCACCAUUCAUCGGGAUAAAUCACCAUUGGCAAACCAAUAUAUUUGGAUGUGUUUUUAUAUCCAAUGAAAAUGCUGAUUCUUAAUUCAUGGGGAUGGUAGCUUUGCAGGACAAGCAGUUUUUAUAUACACAUUGUGGUCAACAACCAAGUAGCCUUCACCACUGAUCCCAAAUCAGGAAGAUCUUCUCAGUAUUGUACUGAUGUUGCUAAAGCCCUGAAUGCUCCAAUUUUCCAUGUCAAUGGCGAUGAUGUGGAGGCUGUGGUCCAUGUCUGUGAGCUUGCAGCAGAGUGGCGUCAGACAUUCCAUUCAGCUGUUGUUGUUGACAUAGUUUUUUGUCGUCGAUUUGGUCACAAUGAGAUUGAUGAGCCAUCUUUUACCCAGCCCAAAGGUAUAAGGUCAGCUCUUUGCCUGUGUUUGUUCUUAUGAUUCAUCUCACUAAAUUCAUGAUGCAGGCCCUUUGAAUUCACCUUCCUUUGGAUAACUGCUUCUAAGUAGCAUCUUGUAACAUUAUUCAUUGCUAUUAUACCAGUUGUUUUAUGUGCUAUCAUGGGCUUCUCAUGUUUUGUACGAUUGAAUGAUACCAAUAGAUAAUCCGAUAUCAUCCUUCAGCUAUGGAAAUUUACCAAAAGAAACUUGUAGAAUCUGGUCAUGUGUCUAAGGAGGAUGUAGAUAGGAUAAACAAUAAAGUUCUUUCAAUUCUUAAUGAAGAAUUUGUGGCAAGCAAAGAUUAUGUCCCCCAAAGGAGGGCCUGGCUUUCGGCCUACUGGACUGGGUUCAAGUCUCCUGAGCAGCCUCACGUAUCCGAAACACCGGGUAUGAUAUGUUUCUUGAACUUUUUAUUUGUUUAACUUUCAAAUUUCUAUAUGUCGAGGCUCAUCUGUAUAAUGGUCUACACUGUCAAGCCAGAGAUUUUGAAGAACGUUGACAAAGCAAUAACAACCCUUCCAGAAAACUUUAAGCCUCUCAGAGCAGUUAAGAGAAUUUUGGAUGACCGUGCCAAGGUGAUUGAGACAGGGGAGGGAAUAGACUGGGCUGUAGGGGAGGCACUUGCUUUUGCAACACUGGUUGUAGAAGGAAAUCAUGUCAGACUUAGUGGUCAAGAUGUUGAGAGAGGUACUUUUCGUCAUCGACAUUCUGUCGUUCAUGAUCAAGAAACAGGAGAGAAGAACUGUCCUUUGGAUCAUGUUAUGAUCAAUCAGAAUGAGGAAAUGUUUACAGUUAGUAACAGGUAACUGCUAAUGCAUCUUUGCUCUUUCUGACGUUGAUUGUCCAAAAGAAAAAUAUACCCUGAGUGCUUUGUUCUAGAAAGGAUGCUCAUGAAGUACCAAUCGAGCAUCUCUGCACAUCUGAUGCUUUCAGUUUGCCCUUUUAUUUGUGACAUGGAGCAAUCUUUUGAACUGCAAUGUUUCUUUAUGCAGCUCUCUUUCUGAAUUUGGUGUUUUGGGCUACUCCAUGGAAAAUCUAAAUUCUUUAGUACUGUGGGAAGCCCAGUUUGGUGAUUUUGCCAAUGGAGCUCAAGUCAUAUUUGAUCAGUUCUUGAGCAGUGGGGAGGCCAAUUGGCUUCGUCAGACAGGAUUAGUUGUGCUUCUGCCUGAUGGUUAUGAUGGCCAGGGCCCUGAACAUUCUAAUGCUCGUUUGGAGCGUUUUCUUCACGUAUUUCUGCUUAGUAAAACCUUUGGAUGAGAACUCUCUCUUUUGGACUUCACAACAUGUGAAGACCUUUAUUUUGUUCUAUCUUCCCUGUCUCCUUAAUUGUUUGGGAUUUAAGUAGUUUUUUGUGGGCUUUUCUCUUUUUAUUGGUGUUUCUUGUUUUACCUUGACCCUUAUUUUCUUUUGGAUGAUAUGGACCUUGGUUUAAACUUUUAAUUGCUUUCACUGGCUGGAGUUUUGAAUUUAUUUUCUGUAACUGUUGUUUGAUUUCACACUGUCAUGUAGCUUGAUCUGUCUGACCAUUUUUGAUUGAUUGUCUACCCAUCUCUAUCAUUUUUUCAAUUUCUUUUGAUUUUGACCUAUUUUAAGCGUGAUACUGUAGUUUUCAUGCCCUUCAUGUUCCGUUGUCAGAUGAGUGAUGACAACCCCUUUGUCAUCCCAGAGAUGGAUCCAACCCUUAGAAAGCAGAUCCAAGAAUACAAUUGGCAGGUGGUAAAUGUGACAACGCCUGCAAAUUAUUUCCAUGUUCUGCGGCGUCAAGUAAGUUGAGCUAUUUGAUUUCAAGUUUUAUCAGCCUGUACAGAUGCUUAGUCUUCUCAUGUGUUAUCUACACCCCUCAGAUACACACAGAAUUCCGUAAGGCUCUUAUUGUGAUGUCCCCAAAGAACUUACUUCGACAUAAAGACUGCAAGUCCAAUCUGUCCGAGUUUGAUGAUUUGCAAGGCCAUCCUGGUUUUGACAAACAAGGGACCAGGUUUAAGCGCCUCAUAAAGGAUCAGAAUGACCAUAAGGAAGCUGAGGAGUACAUCGGUCGUUUGAUCCUUUGCUCAGGAAAGGUGUGUAUUGUUUUUUUUUUUUUUUUUGGCUAAUGUAAUAUUAUCAUCUCUUUUGCAUGAGAUAGAUCCCUCUAGGCCCACUCACUUUAAUUAUUGGUUGCCUUUUUAGUAUAAUGCCCAAAAUCUUCCUGAUCCACUUGUCAUUCUGUGGGAUUAUGCAAUUCCAGGAAAUAAAGCACAAAGGUACUUGUUGAAGUUACAAUAUCAACACUUAUUUCAUAAUGUUCAACAUCAUUUUAUUGUGUCAACUCUUUAUGUUCAUUUUUGGGUUUGAUACCAGUUUGCAUUUCGUUUUUUAAGCAUAUUUGGGGAAGGGACUCAGUUUUAUUUCUCGUUUUGCAGGUUUUUUAUGAACUUGAUGAGGAGAGGAGAAAAGUGAAUAGGAAGGAUGUUGCUAUUUGUCGGGUGGAACAACUUUUUCCAUUUCCGAUAUGACCUCAUUCAACGUGAAUUGAAGCGAUAUCC